rnacentral:rRNA from 1 species
CCUACGGGAGGCAGCAGUAGGGAAUCUUUCACAAUGGGCGAAAGCCUGAUGGAGCAACGCCGCGUGCAGGAUGAAGGCCUUCGGGUUGUAAACUGCUUUUAUAAGCGAGAAAUAUGAUGGUAACUUAUGAAUAAGGAUCGGCUAACUACGUGCCAGCAGCCGCGGUCAUACGUAGGAUCCGAGCAUUAUCCGGAGUGACUGGGUGUAAAGAGUUGCGUAGGUGGCAUAAUAAGUAGCUAGUGAAAUCUGGUGGCUCAACCAUUCAGACUAUUAGCUAAACUGUUAAGCUCGAGACCGUUAGGUGUAACUGGAAUUUCUAGUGUAGGAGUGAAAUCCGUAGAUAUUAGAAGGAACACCAAUAGCGUAGGCAGGUUGCUGGGACGGUUCUGACACGAAGGCACGAAAGCGUAGGGAGCAAACGGGAUUAGAUACCCGGGUAGUC